rnacentral:snoRNA from 12 species
GCCUGGUGGUUCCUAGAGUCAGCGUCACAGUGCUGAACUGUAGGUUUUAUUGACAGGCACAAAUCGACUCUGCAAUGUUAUGCAUGGAAGCUGCCACUAUAGCAGCUCUCCAUAGCCCGGUUGCAGAUACAAAA